AUCCUAUGUAGCUAUGCUAAACUAGAGAUCUAUUGAUGUGGUGGCUCUAGGGCUUGAUCAGAGGCUUCUUCUCCCAAGAUGAAUAAUGAAUUAUGUUCAGAGGUCCCCUCCUCCAGGGGCCAAGGGGUCUGCUUAUAUAGUCCUUCCAAAUGAAUGUGGGCCGUCAGAUCAAACCGACAUUAAUCGCAUGGUUUUCCUUGAUCCUUUAGGUCGGUGGAGCAUGAUCCGCGAAGUUGAACCUGAUUGGUUGCCUGUCCAGGGCGGGCGCCUAAGGCGGAGGGCGGGCGCCCUGCCCACAGGCCCGAUCGGCCUCCCGUUCAUUCCCGCGGCUUCUGGACUCUUCUAGAUGUUAGAUAAUUGCGCAGCAUGUUAAUAUCUCUAUGUAAACCUGACAUGUGGGCUUUUCUUUCGUAAUUCCUGAUAACCCCCUGCAGAAAUAGACAAACACCAAAACUCGUGGAAUUCUGUUAGAUAAAACCCUAAGUCUGGAUGUUGAUUUCAUUUGGAUCCUUUUCUCUGGUUACUGGAUGGUUAAAUUUGAUAUUUAAGGACCGUCAACAAACUCCCCCAAGCUUACCUCUUGCUCGUCCCUGAGCAAGGAUAAUCUCAGUGAUGAAUCAGAAGUUGCUGUAAUGCCUUUAAAAGUUGACGGUACACAUGCUUUCAAAUGAGGUCUCAUCUCUGAGAGUAAACCGUCAAGACUUAAAACUUACUCAUUUUACCUUUCACCAUGGGACUUGUAACCGUUACUUCUGUCUUGAGUAGUUAAAAGAUAGAACGGUCUAGUCAAGUGCCAUGUCUCUUAUUAUUGAUCAGCUAUAGCUCUGGAGUUUUUGCAGAUUUUCAAAUAAAACUCAGAGAUUCCUUGUAUGACUCUCUCAGAUCUCUCUUUUGUGGUAUUUCUGGAUCCUUACCAAGGCAGUGAUGGUAAAUGCCUUCUCUCAAAAUAUGUAGUAUUUGUGGUAUAAGGCAUAGUGACAUUGCCUUCUCUCUCAUCCUACUCUAAUAAGGCUUUGAUAUCUGGAGCUCAUAGGUGGGAGAUAGAAUAUACAUACUUACAAGACAUUUAUUGCAUAGUCAAACCAUGGAUCCAGAGAAACAAGUCAAUAAGUCAAAUCAAGAUGUACAUGUAUGGCGAAUGAAUGGUGUAUGGUGAUGAUGGUGAUAACAAUGGUGAAAGUCUAAUUCUACUUGUUGCUCUUUUGAGGGGAUACAUACCUUUCUUGCUCUUUGAAACUUUUGAGGAGAAUGAGAUGCUCUAUAUUUUCUUUUUCUUUUUUCUCAGAUGGGUAUCUUGUACGCCUAAUUCUACUGUCGCACACUUGUCCAUUUUUACCUCUCGUCUCACUUUUUCAUUUCUUUCGAGGUUCCGGGCACUUGCCCCUUUUUAUUUCCUCGUAUUUUUUUCUUUUUUUAGAGCACUCAUCUCCUAAAAUAAUAUAGCAAGUGGUAGUAACCAAGAUAACUUGAGCAUUUAUUUCACAGGGGAAAAACAGAAAUGUUUGUGGCUAUUCUCUCCCGGAUUAGGAGUAGAAUAUUUUUGGGUGGUUCUGGAGAUGGAAAUGAGUGGAUAUAUAUGGAUACGUACUUCCGGAGUAGAAGCAGCAUGUGUGAGUGAACGUGCAAGUGAAUCUUGAUUUAACCACAUGACAAGCUCCUAAGGGUCUACACAGCUUGACCACACUCAAUGCUCAUAAGUGUUGACGGUCCUUAAGUAUCAAAUUUAAUUAUCAAAUAAACAAAGAAAAGGAUCCAAAUGAAAUCAACAUCUAGACUUAGGGUUUUAUUUGACAGAAUUCCACGAGUUUUGGUGUUUGUCUAUUUCUGCAGGGGGUUAUCAGGAAAUAAUAAAGAAAGGCCCACAUGUCGGGAUUACAAAGAGAUAUCAACCCACCGCGCAAUUUUCUACCAUCUAGAAGACUCCAGAAGCCACGGGAAGGAAGCGGAGCCCGAAAGGGGCCAGGCCCAGGGCGCCCGCCCUGAGGACCUGGGCGCGCGCCCCCCUCUGGACUCCGUUCCGGACUCUCUUCGCACACGACGUUCCACCGACCUAUUGGAUCCAGAAUAACAUAGUACCACCUCGCCUAUCGACCCAAAAACGCAUAGAAGGGGAGGACUAUAUAAGGAGACCCCCUCUGGCCCUGGAGGAGACAAGAAAUUAUCAUAGAGAUUGAGGGGUGCCCUCGAAGGAAAACCUCUUCUCUAAAUAAUAUUUCUUUUUAGGCUUAGCAACCAAUGUAAAGUAGAAAUAGAUCUUCUAGUUUCUACUAGAUUGAGAGAGAUAGAGUGGAGGUGUGGAUCGGAGGAAGGCCGGCCUGUCGGUGUCUACUCCGAGUUGUACCUACGGGAUCAAGUCUCCUAACCCGAGGCUUGCUUCUAAGAUUCUUCAGUAAUUCGACAUCUAAUACUAGUAAGUUCUUGUUUUAUUGUUCUUUGGUUUAUGAGUUUACUUUAAUCCUCAUCCGGUUGAGUAUUAGAGUAAUCAUUGCUGGCGUAAACGUGGUGUUUAGGCUAGGGUACUCAUAGAUAUCCCCUGACUAGCUGGACCGUGGUAGUAGCGAGGAACGUGACAUUUCCGAGUUACCUUUGUAGAUCACAUCUCGUUAGCAGGACGGGUAGGUUUAUAGGUGCGGGUCGAACAUCCUUUGUGUUGUCUAGAUUCCGUGAGCCUCCCCAAUAGAAUAGUAGAUCAUCCUUACCAAGAUUAGAACGAGACUACGGUUGCAGUCUUCUCUAUACAUCACUCACAUCGAGAGACAUUCUUUGUAGCCUAAAGGGAUAGUAGCAAUAGAUUUGGUUAGUCAGAUGCACCCUUUCUCCCAGUGGUAAAAAUAUAAAUACGAUACUCUGGAAAACCUCCCGGGUGAAAUGCUCACCGAUAUCCGUGCGCUUGCGGAUCAUUUCCUUAUUGCGUUACUAAAUAUCAACAAGCAUUUCUGGCGCCGUUGCCGGGGAGAAAGACGGUUUGCUGAGAUAACUUUGAGUCUUGCUAUUAUCUUGUAUUAUACUUUUAUACUUUUAUUCUUUUAUCUUUUUAUUUUUAUCUUUAUGGAUAACUCAAAUUCCAUACUUAUUAUUAAAUUUUUUGCACCUUCGGAGACCAGCCAUAGACCAUGGGAGUCAACACGUCCUGCCCCUAAUUAUGAUCUGUGUCCGGAGUUGAUUGCAAUAGGUCAAAACCAACCCUUUUCUAUAGCUGAGGUCCUAUCUUUUAAUCAAGAAGAUAAUGCACUUUUAGCUACACCUAGGGAAUCUGUUAAUCUUUCUAUAAAUUCUGGUUUAGACCUAGCCCUACAAGACCAUAUUUUUCCUAAAUAUUUUCACAUUGGUCUUAAUCAUAUAACCUUUGGUAGAGUCUUUCUUUCUUUAUCUAUUAGUAAAGGAAGGUAUGUCUUCAUUUGUGGACAUCCUUCUUUCACUAGUCUUCAUAGAAAAAUCUUAGAGAUAGAGAAGGAAUCAUCUCCCAGACGAGGAAAGGAAGUUUCCAUAGCCAAUUUCCAAACAUUUCAAUCCCAUAAUUCGGCUAUCCAUCCCAUCCUUGAGCUUAAUAGUUUCUACUAUGCUCUUUCUCUUGAACCUCCCGAUAAUCCUAUGAAUCUAUCUAGACAUCUCAUGCAUAAGGAGGAUCGAGAAGAGCAACAUCGAUGGCUAGAGGGCAUUAAAAAUCCAUGUGCUAUCACCAUUGAAUGGAUAGAUAAAACAAACUUGAGAGACAAUCCUAGAGGAAUUUUAAGCAUUCAUGAAGAAUCAUCCUUGGAGUUUGAGAAUGAGAGAAACAACAGUGAGCAUGGAAGUUAUUUCAUAAAUACCUCACCCAGUCCUUGCUCAUAUAAAACAUCUGUCCAAUCAAUUGGUCUCUCCAUCCUUAUCACAUUUGAGAUCUCCAACCCCCUCUUCUUUUAUAUUUAUAACAACUUUAAAAGAGCGGUUGUCGAUGCAUAUGUCUAUAAUAGAUAUUGCAGAUCUCGUUGAGUUAAUCUUGAUAUAGGUAGGUGUUGGAGGGGAAACCACUUCACCAACAUAACUUGAUGGUUUCCCAAGGAUAAGCUUAGCAUCCUUAAACAAGCACUUAUCAGAUCAUAACAUGAAAUUCUAAUUAUUUGCAACAUUGCCUUGUGUAUUGAGCAUAUUGAGAUAAUUGUAGAAAUAUUCCUUCGGGUAUUCUUGCCACUAACCUUUCCAGGAUUGGAGCAAGAAGAUCCGAGGAAUGACAAGCGCAAGGUAUGCCCAACCAAUCAUCAUGCAACAUUGAAUUAAAUUCAUCCAAUCUUGAAUUUUGCAAAAUUCAAGCUUGGGGGAGUACUUUACAUAAAAACAUCAUUUGCCAUGUUGCUAUGUUGGUUGCCCUUACCUUUGAGACAUGCUCAAUUUGUUAAAUACUAAUCACACUACUUCAUAUUCACUUGAGUAGAUCUCUAUAAAUGCCAUCAUGCUACCUAUGUUUAUCUUAAGUAAGUGUUGGUUUGGAAGUACUGCACAUACUUCUAUUGUCUUUUAAAUUAAGCAUGGUGCUUAGGUUAAACAGCCUUCCUUAAUCUGAUUAGACAUGGAGUCUAGUUCGAUUAUUGAACUAAAAACUGCUUGUGUAGACAUUGGUAUAUUUUGUUGGACUAACCCCUGCAGGAAAACUUUCAAUAUCAACCUGGGAAGUCCUAAGAUACAAACUCACUGGAGACAAAGGAGACACAUGAAGUUUAACAAUUUGCACAAGAAGGACAUAGCUCAUUCAUCAUAAAGAGAUGAUCUAUGGAGGGUGCCACAAACACGAUGCACAACCGCUAAGAAAGGAAAGCUUCCACAAGCUAGGUGAUACUAUACCAUCACUCUUCAAGUAAGGUGACAUCUUAAGGUACUUGAUUAUCGCUUUUAUAAGUUUUUCCUUUGUUCUGGCAUUCACUUAAAAUAAAGAGACAAACAUGUAUGAUUUAUAACUCCAGAUUAACCAACUCAAUUAAUUCAACAUGUUUAGUCCUUUAAUCUUUGUUCUUAGUACUACCUUCGUGAUCCCACACUCCUAAUCAUAUAAGCUAAAAUGUUGCACAUUUAAAUCUUUGGAAGAUAUAAACAAAACAUAAAUAUAGAUAGAUUAUCUUUCCAUUAGGUUGAGCCAUCUGAUCUAACAAAUGUUUUAAAUGCUACACUCAUGAUCCAUCAACUUUGUCUUGCUCACUAUGCUUAAGGUUAGAGAAGAACAAAUACACUUUUGGUUCUGUUGGUGUUUUCCACCAACAGGGCCCAUGCACUUGAUCUCUGCCUUGUCUCUAUGAGCAGAUACAAUUCAAGCAAAACAUGGAGGAGUUUUACAACUCCCAGAUUCCACCAAGUGAAGAACCGGGAUCUACGAGCACAAACACAAUGGAGAUCACACACUUAGUUUCCCAAAGGAAAUAUUGAAGAACCUCUGCAUCCGAGUUGGUACCUUGUACGCUCUAGUAGACGUCGUGGUGAUAGAGACUGGUACUGAGGAGAGGGCACCCAUCAUCUUAGGGAGGCCAUUCCUAAACACCAGAGCUGUCAUAUACGUUAAUACUGCCAAGUUCAGUUUCUACAUCAAGGGGAAGAAGGAGACUUUCCUUCAAGAACAAGACUACACAAAUUUUAGAGCAAUCCCGACAUGAACCAAGGAAGAGGACCAACAGGAGGAACAGGAACAAGCAAAUGUGGACCGAGUCAGCUAAGAUGGUCACUACAGUUCAGAGGAGGUCAAAAUCAUCGACUCAAGUCGCCCUUCCUGAUCAAGAAGGACGACCCUGAUGUUCCAAGCAUUGAGUGCACAAUCAACAGAUAAUCUUUUCAGAAGACACUCUACAACAUCGGAUCUAACGACAACAUAAUGGCCGCAGUCACUUAUCAGCUCCUGCAUGGAACCAUGCCCCUACAACCAAUAUAUAUUCAGCUCCAGAUGAUUUUCAGAUCAUUGACAUGGGAGAAGACGAGUACGAUCCACCCAUCAUCCUUGGAAGACCGUUCCUCAACACUAUCAAAGCCAUCAUCUAUAUUGGAACCAGAGAAGUCCACAUGCACUUCCCCUCUGAGAAGGUACGCUGCUAUUUUACUCACCUUAACUAUAUAGUUGAAGACUCUAAACAAGUCAGGACAAGAAGAAGACGACGCAACCGCAACCAGAGGAGGCAAAUCAUCAAGGACGGAUGGGCAGACUACAAAGGAGAAGUGAUAAGGUCUGAAGACAUAUAUCUCGAACAGAACUGUCCUGAGGAGACCGUAGCACCGAGUCAGGUGUGGAGAGAGAAGAUAGUUAUACACGAAGAAGAGGCGCCGCCGGAAUCACCGACUACGCCACCCAGCAAAUCCCAAGACGAUUAAGAAAACACAAGGAGUCCCGUUCGGAGGACUUAAAAACACCGAACGCCUUGCCAAGAGGUAAACUUGGUAGUUAUCUUUUUCCUUUCAAUUAUUCAAUUAUAGUUUGCUUAGUUAAUCAGGUUCAUGCUAUCUUGAAAAGAAAAUAAAAAUGUUAAAAAAAUAGUAAGCCCCAUGUGAGUAUGCUCAUGGCAUAAAACCCAUAAGUACAUUCACCGUGGUGGCAUAAAAAUAAAAUAAAUAAGUUUUCAUCUUACAAUAAAAAUAUAAAAAUAAUAAGUGCAUGAUCCUGCUAAAUAAGUAAUAUUUAUUGAGAAGACUCAACAUGAUAAAGGCUAGAUAUUUAUGCUAACACUUAACCAGUUCCACAAAGCUUUGUUGUCUAUUUGAGCUCUACAGAAUUUAAGAACGACUAGCAGACGGAGGACAUCCUAAUCGCUGUCAGAGUGCUGCCGACUUUCAAAUACACCUCCAUCACCUGCUAGCUACAUGAGGAGAAAUUACGUCAAAAUCCAGCUUGGGGGAGAGCACCACCAUUUAUCCAGCUAAGUGUUUCUACUCGCGUUUAUACUUUACACAAAUAAUAAAAGAUGCAUAAUCAUGAAAAACCCAAAUAAAGAUUUUGUGCUUUUAUAUAUAUAUAUCUUUGCUUAGUUUGCUAAAUAAAUAAAUAAAUAAAGUUUGCUAUGAACCCUCAUGAUAAACUCUCACAUGGAAAUGAUGAAUAGUUGCUCUGCCACGACUAGUUCUUAAAAUUGAAAUCUCUCUCAAGUUUAGGCAUGACUGUUAUGAAGUAAGAUUUGCUCUAAACCUGAACUUGUGGGAAGAGUACUUGAUCUAAAGUCUAAGUCGUUAACGGAUACGAUAUGGGAAGGUUGAGCUGCUGUUCAUCUGUUCCUAGAGUUGCUAGAAUUCUGGAAAAUUUUAUCUUUGAAAAAUCUUUAAAAUAACACAUGAUGAGUUCCUGUAUGAUGAGAGUUUAAAUUCCUACCACAGCCAUAUAUACAUGCUUGCUAGACCUUGAGCCACACAUUUACUAUUUACUGCUUAUGAGCAUUGAGUGUGGUCAAGCUGUGUAGACCCUUAGGAGCUUGUCAUGUGGUUAAAUCAAGAUUCACUUGCACGUUCACUCAUACAUGCUACUUCUACUCCGGAAGUACCAUCCACAUAUAUCCACUCAUUUCCGUCUCCAAAACCACCCAAAAGUAUUCUACUCCUAAUCCGGGAGAGAAUAACCAAAAAUAUUUCUGUUUCCCCUUGUGAAAUAAAUGCUCAAGUUAUCUUGUUACUACCACUUGCUAUAUUAUCUCAAGAGAUGAAUGCUCUGAAAAAAAAGAGAGAAAAAGAAAAUAAAAGAUACGAGGAAAUAAAAAGGAGCAAGUGCUCGGAACCUCGAAAGAAAAGAAAAAGAAGAGCAUCUCAUUCUCCUCAUAAAGUUUCAAAAGCAAGGAAGGUAUGUAUCCCCUCAAAGAGCAAAGUAGAAUUAGGCUUCCACCACCAUUGUUAUCACCAUCAUCAACAUACACCAUUCAUUCGCCACACAUGCACAUCUUGAUUUGGCUUAUUGAUUUGUUUCUUUGGAUCCAUGGUUUGACUAUGCAAUAAAUGUCUUGUAAGUAUGUAUACUUUAUCUCCCACCUAUGAGCUCCAGAUAUUAAAGCCUUAUAAGAGUAGGGUGAGAGAGAAGACAUUGUCACUAUGCUUCAUACCACAAAUACUACAUAUCUUGAGAGAAGGCAUAUACCAUCACUGCCUUGGUAAGGAUCCAAAAAUACCACAAAAGAGAGACCUGAGAGAAUCAUACAAGGAAUUUCUGAGUUUUAUUUGAAAAUCUGCAAAAACCCCAGAGCUAUAGCUGAUCAAGAAUAAGAGACAUGGCACUUGGCUAGACUGUUCUAUCUUUUAACCACUCAAGACAGAAGUGACGGUUACAAGUCCUAUGGUGUAGGUAAAGUAAGUAAGUUUUAAGUCUUAACAGUUUAUUCUAACACAGAGAUGAGAUCUUGCUUAAAUACGUGUGUACUUCUAAGAAAUGAAACCACUGCAGAAACUCUUGAGUUCAUCCUUGCUCAGGGACGAGCAAGAGGUAAGCUUGGGGGAGUUUGUUGACGGUCCUUAAGUAUCAAAUUUAAUUAUCAAAUAAACAAAGAAAAGGAUCCAAAUGAAAUCAACAUCUAGACUUAGGGUUUUAUCUGACAGAAUUCCACGAGUUUUGGUGUUUGUCUAUUUCUGCAGGGGGUUAUCAGGAAAUAAGGAAGAAAGGCCCACAUGUCGGGAUUACAUAGAGAUAUCAACCCACCGCGCAAUUUUCUACCAUCUAGAAGACUCCAGAAGCCACGGGAAGGAAGCGGAGCCCGAAAGGGGCCAGGCCCAGGGCGCCCGCCCUGAGGACCUGGGCGCCCGCCCCCCUCUGGACUCCGUUCCGGACUCUCUUCGCACACGACGUUCCACCGACCUAUUGGAUCCAGAAUAAUAUAGUACCACUUCGCCUAUCGACCCAAAAACGCAUAGAAGGGGAGGACUAUAUAAGGAGACCCCCUCUGGCCCUGGAGGAGACAAGAAAUUAUCAUAGAGAUUGAGGGGUUCCCUCGAAGGAAAACCUCUUCUCUAAAUAAUAUUUCUUUUUAGGCUUAGCAACCAAUGUAAAGUAGAAAUAGAUCUUCUAGUUUCUACUAGAUUGAGAGAGAUAGAGUGGAGGUGUGGAUCGGAGGAAGGCCGGCCUGUCGGUGUCUACUCCGAGUUGUACCUACGGGAUCAAGUCUCCUAACCCGAGGCUUGCUUCUAAGAUUCUUCAGUAAUUUGACAUCUAAUACUAGUAAGUUCUUGUUUUAUUGUUCUUUGGUUUAUGAGUUUACUUUAAUCCUCUUCCGGUUGAGUAUUAGAGUAAUCAUUGCUGGCGUAAACGUGGUGUUUAGGCUAGGGUACUCAUAGAUAUCCCCUGACUAGCUGGACCGUGGUAGUUGCGAGGAACGUGACAUUUCCGAGUUACCUUUGUAGAUCACAUCUCGUUAACAGGACGGGUAGGUUUAUAGGUGCGGGUCGAACAUCCUUUGUGUUGUCUAGAUUCCGCGAGCCUCCCCAAUAGAACAGUAGAUCAUCCUUACCAAGAUUAGAAUGAGACUACGGUUGCAGUCUUCUCUAUACAUCACUCACAUCGAGAGACAUUCUUUGUAGCCUAAAGGGAUAGUAGCAAUAGAUUUGGUUAGUCAGAUGCACCCUUUCUCCUAGUGGUAAAAAUAUAAAUACGAUACUCUGGAAAACCUCCCGGGUGAAAUGCUCACUGAUAUCCGUGCGCUUGCGGAUCAUUUCCUUAUUGCGUUACUAAAUAUCAACAAUAAGCAGUAAAAAGUAAAUGUGUGGCUCAAAGUCUAGCAAGCAUGUAUAUAUAUGGCUGUGGUAGGAAUUUAAACUCUCAUCAUACAGGAACUCAUCAUGUGAUAUUUUAAAGAUUUUCAAAGAUAAAAUUCUCCAGAUUUCUAGCAUCUCUAGAAAUAGAUAAACAACAGCUCAACCUUCCCUUAUCAUAUCCGUUAACAACUUAGACUUUAGAUCAAGUUUUCUUCCCACAAGUUCAGGUUUAGAGCAAACUUUAAAUUAUAACAGUUAUGUCCAAAUAUGAGAGAGAACUUCAGAUUUGAAAAUUAGGCAGAGCAACGAUUCAUCAUAUCCAUGCUAGAGUUGUAUUAUUAAGAUUCAGUUUAGCAUAGCCACUUUAUUUAUUUAUUAAGCACACUAAGCAAAAAGAUAUAUAUAUAUAUAAACACAAAAUCUUUACUUGGUUUUUCAUGGUUAUGUAUAUUUAUAUUUUAAUAUAGUAUAAGUAUAAAUAUGUAGAUAGAAAUACUUAGCAGGAUAAAUGGGGGUGCUCUCCCCCAAGCUGAAUUUUGACGUAAUUUCUUCUGAUGUAGCUAGCAGGUGGCAGAGGUGUAUUUGAAAGUCGGCAGCAUCCUGACAGCGAUUAGAAUGUCCUCCGUCUGCUAGUCUUUGUUGACGGUCCUUAAGUAUCAAAUUUAAUUAUCAAAUAAAUAAAGAAAAGGAUCCAAAUGAAAUAAAUAUCUAGACUUAGGGUUUUAUCUGACAGAAUUCCACGAGUUUUGGUGUUUGUCUAUUUCUACAUGGGGUUAUGAGGAAAUAUGGAAGAAAGGCCCACAUGUCAGGAUUACGUAAAGAUAUUAACGUGCUGCGCAAUUAUCUUACAUCUAGAAGACUCCAGAAGCCACGAGACCGAAGCGGAGGCGAAUCGGGGCCAGAGACAGGGCGCCCGCCCUGUCCAACUGGGCGCCCGCCCUGCCCCUAAGUCCAAUCAGGACUCUGCUUUGCGGAAAGUCUCCACGACCUAAAGGAUGAAUCUAAACCAUACAAUCUAUGUCGGUUUGAUCCAAGGGCCCAUAUUCACUUGAAGGGACUAUAAAACGAGACCCCCUGGCCCCUGGAGGAGAGAGCCUCUCAACCCUAAUUCAUUGUUCCAUCAAGGGAGAAGAAGUCUCUGAUCAAGAUUAGAGCCACCACAUCAAUUAGAUAUCUAGAUUAGCAUAGCUACAUAGGAUUAGAACUAGAAGGAGUCAAUCUUCGAUUGGUUUCCGGAUCUGUCAGGAGGAUUCUUGGUAAUUCUCUAAUUGUGCUUCUAAUUGCUUUCUAAUUAUCUUUGUUCUUCAAUAUUAUGAAUAUGACUUUGUUCUACUUCAAUAUAUUGCUUAUGACUUUGCUCUAUUUGCUUAUAUUCAAGAUUAUAUUGUUCUUAGUUUAUCAUAGUUAUGUACUUGGCUUAGUUAGAUACGAUCUAUAUAUGCUUAGGAUCGUAUAGCGUUUAUCCAUCGGAUCCAUGGGUAAAUGAUAGAUAUUGUGUAGGCGUGGUGCUUAUACCGUAUUUAUCUACGAUUGUACCCAAUAUGCCAGAUCGUGGGGUAGUUCGUGAUAGUGACAGCUUCAUUGAUUCUUAUAUAGUCCCCCUCUCGUGUAUUGGGCUGGCAGAGCAACAUUAUUACAGGGGAGUGAUUGCUAUGUUUCUCAUAUUCCUUACUAAUCUCACUAUGCAUGGGCGUAGUCUUGUCUCGCAAUGAUUGCUAAGUAUGCUUGCACUAACUAUGAUAUGCUAGACUAUAUAGUUAAGAAUAACUUAGGGAAUAUUCAUGUAGUUCGUUCUAAUACCAUGCUAAUGACUUUCUAGAGUAUCUAAUUGAGGUGCUUAUCAUAUUUAUUAUGUGGCUAGAUCAGAUUAGUUAUCCUUGUCACUAUUAUCAUUUCAUAUAUUUAUUAUGUGACACUUAUCCCUGUAUGAAGAGUUAGAUAUAAUGUUCUCAAUUAUACAUGCAAUGAUAGAUGCUCAAUCUCAUAUUCUAUUCUGUAAUCAAUAGUGAUGAUUGAUUAAUCCCUUCCCAGUGGUAAAAAUAUAUAUAACGAUACCUGGAAUACUUCCCGGUUAAAAUGCUACAUCGAUAUUAAUCUGUGCGCUUGCAGAUCCCAUUCAUUAUUUAUUUAGAAGAGCAAUUGCAUAUUUCAAUACCGCGUCUCUCAUGUCAUGCUGGGGAUGACAACUUGGCUUAAGUGGUGUGAGGGAUAGGUUUGGCAUUUUUGGCACCGUUGCUAGAUUUAGAACUUAGUCUACUUUUGGUAAUGAUGUUAAGAAUACCCAACAAGCAUUUUUGGCGCCGUUGCCGGGGAAGGUUGAUUACCAAUCAGGAAUGGAAUAAAAGAUUUUGAGUUAUCAUUCGCAUCACUAAUAUGAUUGAGCUUAUCUAUUCUCUCAUACAGUUUUACCCCGAUAUUUUUCUAUUUUAUCUUAUGCAGGGGAAUGUAUGAAUAGAAGACAUCUUCCAGGAAAUUUUGUUGAUAAUCCUGAAGCAUUAUUCAAGAAGACGAGGGCCAAGCUAAAGAAAUCAUCAACACUUCACGAAGAAGCUUCAUCCAAUCAAGAAGAUCACCGGAACUUGUCUUCAGAGUUCGAAGCCAUGGCAAACAAAUCGAUCCGCGAGUUCUCAGCUCCCACUACGGACAACAUCCACACUGGACCUGCUGCAGAGAUCGAUGGCAACUUUGAGCUCAAGCCUGGACUUAUCAACAUGGUGCAAUCCAACCAGUUCUGUGGGAAGGCACACGAAGAUGCUAGUGCUCAUUUACAACACUUCCUGGAGAUUUGCAACACAUUCACCAUAGCAGGAGUUUCCAAAGACGCUAUACUACUUCGCCUCUUCCCAUUCUCACUGUUAGGAAGAGCGAAGCAGUGGUUCUACGCUACAAAGGAGAAGAAUACUACGUGGGCACUCUGCUCAACAAACUUCCUGGCAAAGUUCUUUCCCAUGGGCAAGACCAAUGCUCUCUGUGGGAAGAUUACAAGUUUUCAGCAACAAAAUGAUGAAUCUGUUCCAGAAGCAUGGGAGCGCUUUCAAGACUACAUCCUAGAAUGUCCCCAUCAUGGAAUGGAGAGUUGGCUAUUGAUGCAGACAUUCUAUCAUGGGCUCAGCAACAGUGCCCGAGAGACCAUGGAUGCUGCAGCUGGAGGAGCAUUCUUAUCACUUACUAUACCACAAGCCACAGCUCUUGUGGAGAAGAUGGCGUCCAAUCAAAGCUGGAAUGAAGAGAGGACCCAGACACGCAAGAGAGGUGGACGUAUGCAUCAGCUGAAGGAGGUAGACAUGCUGUCUGCAAAGCUAGACCUGCUCAUGAAGAAGCUCGAUGAUAAAGCUGGAGACAAGAAAGAAGUUAUGCACAUCUACGACUCUCACAUGACUUGUGAGGAGUGUGGAGACACUGGACACUCAGGCAACCACUGCCCUGAGAUGCUUGAGGAUGUGAACUACAUCAACAACAACAACUACUACAACCGUCCUCAACAAAAUCAAGGUUGGAAUCAACAGAGGCCUAACUACUCAGGUAAUUAUCAAGGUAACAAUUCUUACAACAAUAAUAAUAAUUUUCCACCUUUGAGAGAGUUAGUGUCUAAUCAAGGAAAGCUAAUGGAUAACCUAUCUAAGAAAUUGGCAUCUAAUGAUAAAAUGCUAGAAAAUAUAAAUAAUAGAAUGGAUAAUUUUUCUACUGCCAUCAAGAAUCAAAUUAGCUUUGAUAAAAUGAUUGAAUCUCAGUUAAAUCAGAUAGCUGCUGCUGUUCCUACUACUAACCCCGGUAUACCAUCACAAUCGGAAGGAUUAGAAUCUGCAAAUCUUGUAGACGUGUUUGAUGCAGGUAAUUGGAGUAACCCCGUCAAUGAAUUUUCUACUGACCGUCUGCCGGUCAAGAGAGGCGAUCCAGGACGCCCCGUCAUCCCGAUCUCCAUCGGCAUGGUGGACUUCCCAGAAGCACUCUGCGACUUUGGCUCCAGUGUCAACAUUAUACCCAGGGUACUCUAUGAGAAAUUCUUUACAUAUCCUUUAUUAGAGACAACCAUGUGUUUGCAGUUUGCAGAUCAGACGAUAACUUUUCCAAAAGGAAUAGUGAGGAACCUUUGUGUCCGAGUUGGUACCUUGUAUGCACCAGCAGACUUCGUAGUGGUAGAGACCGGAAAUGAUGAGAGAGCACCUAUCAUCCUAGGGAGGCCAUUUUUGAACACCACGGGAGCUAUCAUCUACGCCAGUGCUGCUAAGAUCAGUUUCUACGUCAAAGGGAAGAAGGAAACAUUUUUCUUCAAAAACAAGACUACACAAAUUCCAAAUCAAUCCAGACGUCAAUCAAGGAAGAGGACCAACAGGAGGAACAGGAACAAGCAAGUGUGGACCGAGUCAGCUCAGAUGGUCACUGUAGUCCAUGGAGGCCAAGAUCACCAACUUAAGUCACCGUGCUUGACCAAGAAGGACGACCCAGGAAUGCCAAGCAUUUACUGCUCCAUAAAUGGAUACAACUUCUACAAGACAAUUUGUGACACCGGAUCGGGCGUCAACAUAAUGGUCGCAGUCACCUAUCGGCUCUUGUUCGGGACCAUGCCACUAAGACCAACAUACAUUCAGCUCCAGAUGGCAGAUCAGACAUUUCGAGAAGUUCAAGGAAUAGUAUUUGAUGUCCCAGUCAAAAUAGACGAUCAUUUUGUCUACACAGACUUUCAAGUUGUUGACAUGGGAGAAGACGAGUAUGAUCCACCCAACAUCCUUGGAAGACCGUUCCUCAGCACCGUUAAAGUCAUUAUCUACAUUGGAACCGGAGAAGUCCAUAUGCACUUCCCCUCAGAGAAGGUACGCUGUUAUUUUACUGACCCUAACUAUAUCAUUGAAGAAUCUAAGCAGGUAAGAAAACGACGCAACCGCAACCAGAGGAGGCAGAUCAUUAAGGACGGAUGGGCAGACUAUGAAGGAGAAGUUGUAAGGUCAGAAGACGUAGAGUUUAAACAGAAUUAUCCAGAGGAGAUUGAAGCACCGAGUCAGGUGUGGAAAAUGAAAAUAACUAUACAAGAAGAGGAGGCGCUGCCGGAAGUACCGACUACGCUACCCAACGAACCUCAGGACGAUUAAGAAAUUGGAGAGUCCCGUUCGGAGGACUUAAAAACACCGAACGCCUUGCCAAGAGGUAAACUUGGUAGUUACCCUUUCCCUUUCAGUUAUUUUAAAUAGUUUACUUAGUUAAACAUGCUCAUACUGUCUUAAAAAGAAAAUAAAAAUGUGAAAAAUAGUAAGCCCCAUGUGAAUAGACGAGUGGCAUAAAACCCAUACGUACAUUCAAUGUGGUGGCAUAAAAAUAAAAUAAAUAUUUUUCUGCUUUAUAAAAUAAAAAUAUAAAAACAGGGAGUAAAAAUUAUUAAGGAGUCUCAAGAUGAUAAAGGCUAGAUAUUUAUGCUAACACUUAAUCAGUUCCACAAGCUUUGUUGUCUAUUUGAGCUCCACAGAAUUUAAGAAUCAAGAAGACUAGCAGACGGAGGACAUUCUAAUCGCUGUCAGAAUGCUGCUUUCAAAUACACCUCUGCCACCUGCUAGCUACAUCAAGAGAAAUUACGUCAAAAUUCAGCUUGGGGGAGAGCACCCCCAUUUAUCUCGAUAAGUAUUUCUAUCUAUCUAUCUUUAUAUUUAUAUUAUUUUAGAAUAUUAAUACACAUAAACUAUGGAAAACCAAAUAAAGAUUUUAUGCUUAUAUAUAUUACUCAGUGUGUUUAAUUAAUAAAUAAAGUGGCUAUGCUAAUCUGUAUCUAAUAAAACUUAAGCAUGGAUAUGAUGAAUAGUUGCUCUGCCUAAUUUGCACAUUUUAAGUUCUCUCUCAAGUUUAGACAUAACUGUUAUAAUUUAAAGCUUGCCCUAGACCUAAACUUGUGGGAUGAAAACUUGAUCUGAAGUCUAAGUUGUUAACGGAUACGAUAUAGGAAGGUUGAGCUGCUGUUUAUCUGUUCCUAGAGAUGCUAGAAUUCUGGAGAAUUUAUCUUUGAAAAUCAUUAAAAUGUUGCAUGAUGAGUUCCUGUAUGAUGAGAGCUUAAAUUCCUACCACAGCCAUAUAUACAUGCUUGCUAGACUUUGAGCCACACAUUUACUAUUUACUGCUUAUGAGCAUUGAGUAUGGUCAAGCUGUGUAGACCCUUAGGAGCUUGUCAUGUGGUUAAAUCAAGAUUUCACUUGCACGUUCACUCAUAUAUGCUACUUCUACUCCGGAAGUACCAUCCACAUACAUCCACUCAUUUCCAUCUCCAGAACCACCUAAAAAUAUUCUACUCCUAAUCCGGGAGAGAAUAACCAAAAAUAUUUCUGUUUUCCCCUUGUGAAAUAAAUGCUCAAGUUAUCUUGUUACUACCACUUGCUAUAUUAUCUCAAGAGAUGAAUGCUCUAAAAAAAGAGAGAGAGAGAAGAAUAAUACGAGGAAAUAAAAAGGAGCAAGUGCUCGGAACCUCGAAAGAAAAGAAAAAGUGAGACGAGAGGUAAAAAUGGACAAGUGUCCGACAGUAGAAUUAGGGGUGCAAGAUACCCACCUGAGAGAAAAGAAAAAGAAGAGCAUCUCAUUCUCCUCAUAAAGUUUCAAAAGCAAGGAAGGUAUGUAUCCCCUCAGAAGAGCAAAGUAGAAUUAGACUUUCACCACCAUUGUUUUCACCAUUGUUAUCACCAUCAUCACCAUAUACCAUUCAUUCGCCACACAUGCACAUCUUGAUUAAACUUAUUGACUUGUUACUUUGGAUCCAUGGUUUGACUAUGCAAUACAUGUCUUGUAAGUAUGUAUAUUUUAUCUCCCACCUAUGAGCUCCAGAUAUUAAAGCCUUAUUGGAGUAGGAUGAGAGAGAAGGCAAUGUUACUAUGCCUCAUACCACAAAUACCACAUAUCUUGAGAGAAGGCAUAUACCAUCAAUGCCUUGGUAAGAUCCAAAAAUACCACAAAAGAGAGACCUGAGAGAAUCAUACAAGGAAUUCUGAGUUUUAUUUGAAAAUCUGCAAAAAUCCCAGAGCUAUAGCUGAUCAAGAAUAAGAGACAUGGCACUUGGCUAGACUGUUCUAUCUUUUAACCACUCAAGACAGAAGUGACAGUUACAAGUCCCAUGGUGAAGGUAAAGUAAUUAAGUUUUAAGUCUUGACAGUUUACUCUAACUCAGAGAUAAGAUCUUAUUUAAGAGCAUGUGUACCGUCAAAUUUUUAAAGAUAUUGCAGCAACUUCUGAUCCAUAGCUGAGUCUAUCCUUGCUCAGGGACGAGCAAGAGGUAAGCUUGGGGGAGUUUGUUGACGGUCCUUAAGUAUCAAAUUUAAUUAUCAAAUAAAUAAAGAAAAGGAUCCAAAUGAAAUAAAGAUCUAGACUUAGGGUUUUAUCUGACAGAAUUCCACGAGUUUUGGUGUUUGUCUAUUUCUGCAGGGGGUUAUCUGGAAAUAUGGAAGAAAGGCCCACAUGUCAGGAUUACGUAAAGAUAUUAACGUGCUGCGCAAUUAUCUUACAUCUAGAAGACUCCAGAAGCCACGAGACCGAAGCGGAGGCGAAUCGGGGCCAGAGACAGGGCGCCCGCCCUGUCCAACUGGGCGCCCGCCCUGCCCCUAAGUCCAAUCAGGACUCUGCUUUGCGGAAAGUCUCCACCGACCUAAAGGAUGAAUCUAAACCAUACAAUCUAUGUCGGUUUGAUCCAAGGGCCCAUAUUCACUUGAAGGGACUAUAAAACGAGACCCCCUGGCCCCUGGAGGAGAGAGCCUCUCAACCCUAAUUCAUUGUUCCAUCAAGGGAGAAGAAGCCUCUGAUCAAGAUUAGAGCCACCACAUCAAUUAGAUAUCUAGAUUAGCAUAGCUACAUAGGAUUAGAACUAGAAGGAGUCAAUCUUCGAUUGGUUUCCGGAUCUGUCAGGAGGAUUCUUGGUAAUUCUCUAAUUGUGCUUCUAAUUGCUUUCUAAUUAUCUUUGUUCUUCAAUAUUAUGAAUAUGACUUUGUUCUACUUCAAUAUAUUGCUUAUGACUUUGCUCUAUUUGCUUAUAUUCAAGAUUAUAUUGUUCUUAGUUUAUCAUAGUUAUGUACUUGGCUUAGUUAGAUACGAUCUAUAUAUGCUUAGGAUCGUAUAGCGUUUAUCCAUCGGAUCCAUGGGUAAAUGAUAGAUAUUGUGUAGGCGUGGUGCUUAUACCGUAUUUAUCUGCGAUUGUACCCAAUAUGCCAGAUCGUGGGGUAGUUCGUGAUAGUGACAGCUUCAUUGAUUCUUAUAUAGUCCCCCUCUCGUGUAUUGGGCUGGCAGAGCAACAUUAUUACAGGGGAGUGAUUGCUAUGUUUCUCAUAUUCCUUGCUAAUAUCACUAUGCAUGGGCGUAGUCUUGUCUCGCAAUGAUUGCUAAGUAUGCUUGCACUAACUAUGAUAUGCUAGACUAUAUAGUUAAGAAUAACUUAGGGAAUAUUCAUGUAGUUCGUUCUAAUACCAUGCUAAUGACAUUCUAGAGUAUCUAAUUGAGGUGCUUAUCAUAUUUAUUAUGUGGCUAGAUCAGAUUAGUUAUCCUUGUCACUAUUAUCAUUUCAUAUAUCUAUUAUGUGACACUUAUCCCUGUAUGAAGAGUUAGAUAUAAUGUUCUCAAUUAUACAUGCAAUGAUAGAUGCUCAAUCUCAUAUUCUAUUCUGUAAUCAAUAGUGAUGAUUGAUUAAUCCCUUCCCAGUGGUAAAAAUAUAAAUAACGAUACCUGGAAUACUUCCCGGUUAAAAUGCUACAUCGGUAUUAAUCUGUGCGCUUGCAGAUCCCAUUCAUUAUUUAUUUAGAAGAGCAAUUGCAUAUUUCAAUACCGCGUCUCUCAUGUCAUGCUGGGGAUGACAACUUGGCUUAAGUGGUGUGAGGGAUAGGUUUGGCAUUUUUGGCACCGUUGCUAGAUUUAGAACUUAGUCUACUUUUGGUAAUGAUGUUAAGAAUACCCAACAGUCUUCUUGAUCCUUGAAUUCUGUGGAGCUCAAAUAGACAACAAAGCUUUGUGGAACUGAUUAGGUGUUAGCAUAAAUAUCUAGCCUUUAUCAUGUUGAGCCUCCUCAAUAAAUGUUACUCUCUAUGGUAGGAUCACAAUUCUAUUUUUAUAUUUUCACUUUUAUAAAGUAGAAAAAUUAUUUAUUUUAUUUUUAUGCCACCACAGUGAAUGUACUUAUGGAUUUUAUGCCACUCGUAUACUCACAUGGGGCUUACUAUUUUUUUAACAUUUUUAUUUUCUCUUUUUUUAGGAUAGUAUGAACCAGAUUAACAAAGUAAACUAUUUUAAAUAAUUGGAAGGAAAAGAUAUCUACCAUGUUUACCUCUUGGCAAGGCGUUGGGUGUUUUUAAGUCCUCUGAACGGGACUCUCUGUUUUCUGAGUUGUCCUGGGGUUCGCUGGAUGGCGUAGUCGGUGGUUCCGGCAGCGCCUCCUCUUCGUGUAUAUCUAUCUUCUCUCUCCAAACCUGACUCGGUGCUACGGUCUCCUCAGGAUAGUUCUGUUCAAGCUGUAUGUCUUCAGACCUUACCACUUCUCCUUCGUAGUCUGCCCAUCCAUCCUUGAUGGUUUGCCUCUUCUGGUUGCGGUUGCGUCGUCUUCUUCUUGUCCUGAUCUGCUUAGAGUCUUCAACUAUAUAGUUAGGGUCAGUAAAAUAGCGGCGUACCUUCUCUAAGGGGAGGUGCAUGUGAACUUCUCCAGUUCCAAUGUAAAUGAUUGCUUUAACAGUGCUGAGGAACGGUCUCCCAAGGAUGAUCGGUGGAUCGUACUCGUCUUCUCCCAUGUCGAUAACCUGAAAGUCUGUAUGGACAAAAUGAUCGUCUAUUUUGACAGGGACAUCAGUUACUAUACCUUCAACCUUUUAGAAUGUCUGAUCUGCCAUCUGGAGCUGAAUGUAUGUCGGUUUUAGGGGCAUGGUUCCGAACAAGAGCCGAUAGGUGACUGCGGCCAUUAUGUUGACGCCUGAUCCGGUGUCGCAAAGUGUCUUGUAGAAGUUGUACCCAUUGAUGGAGCAAUGGAUGCUUGACAUACCUGGGUCGUCCUUCUUGGUCAGAAACGGUGACUUAAGUCGAUGAUCUUGACCUCCUUGAAUUGUAGUGACCAUCUUAACUGACUCGGUCCACACUUGCUUGUUCCUGUUCCUUCUGUUGGUCCUCUUCCUUGGUUCAUGUUGGGAUUGCUCUAGGAUUUGUGUAGUAUUGUUCUUAAAGGAAAAUGUUUCCUUCCUCCCUUUGAUGUAGAAAUUGAUCUUGGCAGCACUAGCGUAGACGACAACUCCUGAGGUGUUUAGGAAUGGCCUCCGUAAGAUGACGGGUGCCCUCUCAUCAUUUCCGGUCUUUAUCACCACGAAGUCUGCUGGGGCGUAUAAGGUACCAACUCAGACGUAGAGGUUCUUCAAUAUUCCCUUUGGGAAACUUAACGCCUGAUCUACAAACUGCAAACACAUGGUUGUUUCCAAUAAAGGAUAUGUAAAGAAUUUUUCAUAGAGUACCCUAGGCAUAAUGUUGACACUAGAGCCAAAGUCGCAGAGUGCUUCUGGGAAGUCCACCAUGCCGAGGGAGAUCGGGAUGACGGGGCGUCCUGGAUCGCCUCUCUUGACCGGCAGAAGGUCAGUAGUAACUUCUGUGACAGGGUUACUCCAGUAGUUACCUGUAUCAAACAUGUCUACAAGAUUUGCAGAUUCUAAUCCUUCCGGUUGUGAUGAUAUACCAGGGUUAGUAGCAGGAACAACAGCAGCUAUUUGAUUUAACUGAGAUUCAAUCAUUUUAUUAAAGCUAAUUUGAUUCUUGAUGGCAGUAGAGAAAUUAUCCAUUCUAUUAUUUAUAUUUUCUAACAUUUUAUCAUUAGAUGCCAAUUUCUUAGAUAGGUUAUCCAUUAGCUUUCCUUGAUUAGACACUAACUCUCUCAGAGGUGGAAAAUUAUUAUUAUUGUAAGAAUUGUUAGCUUGAUAAUUACCUGAGUAGUUAGGCCUCUGUUGAUUCCAACCUUGAUUUUGUUGAGGACGGUUGUAGUAGUAGUAGUUGUUGUUGUUGAUGUAGUGCACGUCCUCAAGCAUCUCAGGGCAGUGAUUGCCUGAGUGUCCAGUAUCUCCACACUCCUCACAAGUCAUGUGAGAGUCGUAGACGUGCAUGACUUCUUUCUUAUCUCUAGCUCUAUCAUCAAGCUUCUUCAUGAGCAGAUCUAGCUUAGCAGACAGCAUGUCUACCUCCUUGAGCUGAUGCAUACCUCCACCUCUCUUGCGUGUCUGGGUCCUUUCUUCAUUCCAGCCUUGGUUGGACGCCAUCUUCUCCACAAGAGCUGUGGCUUGUGGUAUGGUGAGUGAUAAGAAUGCUUCUCCAGCUGCAGCAUCCAUGGUCUCUCGGGCACUAUUGCCAAGCCCAUGAUAAAACGUCUGCAUCGGUAGCUAGCUCUCCAUUCCAUAUAGUCUUGGAAGCGCUCCCAUGCUUCUGGAACGGAUUCAUCAUGUUGUUGCUGAAAAGUUGUAAUUUUCCCACGGAGAGCAUUGGUCUUGCCCAUGGGAAAGAACUUAGCUAGAAAGUUUGUCGAGCAGAGUGCCCACGUAGUAUUCUUCUCCUUUGUAGCGUAGAACCACUGCUUCGCUCUCCCCAACAGUGAGAAUAGGAAGAGGCGAAGUAGUAUAGCAUCUCUAGGGACUCCUGAUAUGGUGAAUGUGCUGCAUAUCUCUAGGAAGUGUUGGAGAUGAGCACUAGCAUCUUCGUGUGCCUUCCCACAUAACAGGUUGGAUUGCACCAUGUUGAUAAGUCCAGGCUUGAGCUCAAAGUUGUCGUCGAUCUCUGCAGCAGGUCUAGUGCGGAUGUUGUCCGUAGUGGGAGCUAAGAACUCACGGAUCGAUUUGUUCGCCACGACUUCAAAUUCUGAAGACAAGUUCCGGGUGAAACUUCGGUGAUCUUCUUGAUUGGAUGAAGCUUCGUGCUGAAGUGUUGAUGAUCUCUUCUUGAGGUUGGCUCUUGUUUUUCUGAAUAAUGCUUCGGGGUUGUCAACAAAAUUUCCUUGAAGAUGUCUUCUAUUCAUACAUCACCAUGCAUAAAGUAAAAUAGAAAAAUAUCGGGGUAAAACUGUAUGAGAGAAUUGAUAAUCUCAAUCAUAUUAGUGAUGUGAAUGAUGACUAAAAAUUCCAUAUCCAUUCUUGAUUAGUAAUCAACCUUCUCCGGCAACGGCGCCAAAAAUGCUUGUUGGGCAUUCUUAACGUCACUACCAAAAAUAGACUUAGUUUUCUAAUUCUGAUAACAGCGCCAAAAAUGCCAAACCUAUCCCUCAUGCCGCUUAAGCCAAGUUGUCAUCCCCAGCAUGACAUGAGAGAUGCGGUAUUGAAAUAUGCAAUUGCUCUUCUAAAUAAGUAACAAAUGAGAUCUGCAAGCGCACAGAUUAAUACCGAUGUAGCAUUUUAACCGGGAAGUAUUCCAGGUAUCGUUAUUUAUAUUUUUACCACUGGGAAGGGAUUGCUAAACAUCAAUGUUGAUUAUGGAAUGGAAUAUAGGAUUGAGUAUCUAUCAUUGCAUGUAUAAUUGAGAGCAUUUAUCUAUCUCUUUCAUACAGGGAUAAGUGUCACAUAAAAGAUAGAUAAAGUAUGAAUGGUGACAAGAUAAUUAAUCUGAUCAGCAUAACAUAGCCACAUAUAAUAAUGAUAAGCACCUCAAUAGAUAUUCUAGCAAGUCAUUAGCAUCGAAUUAGGACGAACUAUAAGAAUAUUUCCUAAGUUAUUCUUAACUAUACAGUCUAGCAUAUCAUAGUUAGUGCAAUUAUACUUGGCAAUCAUUGUGAGACAGGACUACGCCCAUGCAUAGUGAUAUUAUCAAGGAAGAUGAGAAACAUAGCAAUCACUCCCUUGUAAUAAUGUUGCUUUGCCUGCCCUAUACAUGAGAGGGAGAGUAUAUAAGUAUCAAUGGAGCUGUCACUACCACGAACUACCCCGCGAUCCGGCAUAUAGGGUACAAUCGCAGAUAAAUACGGUGUAGGCACGACGCCUACACAAUACUUAUCAUUUAUCCACUGUACACAUGGAUAAACGCUAUACGAUCCUAAACAUGUAUAUAAUUCCAAUUGAAUUAAACCAAGCAUAUAACUAUGAUAAACUAAGAACAAUAUAAUUGCAAAUAUAAACAAGUAGAGCAAAGUCAUAAUCAAUAUAUUGAAGUAGAACAAAGUCAUAUUCAUAAUAUUGAAGAACAAUGACGAACAAUUGAAGAACAGUAGAGGAAUUACCAAGAAUCCUCUUGAUAGAUCCGGAAACCAAUCGAAGAUUGACUCCUUCUAGUUAUAAUCCUAUGUAGCUAUGCUAAACUAGAGAUCUAUUGAUGUGGUGGCUCUAGGGCUUGAUCAGAGGCUUCUUCUCCCAAAAUGAAUAAUGAAUUAGGGUUCAGAGGUCCCCUCCUCCAGGGGCCAGGGGGUCUGCUUAUAUAGUCAUUCCAAAUGAAUGUGGGCCAUCGGAUCAAAUCGACAUUAAUCGCACGGUUUUCCUUGAUCCUUUAGGUCGGUGGAGCAUGAUCCGCGAAGUCGAACCUGAUUGGUUGCCUGGCCAGGGAGGGCGCCCAAGGGGGGAGGGCGGGCGCCCGAGCCCCGGGCCCGAUCGGCCUCCCGUUCGUUCCCGUGGCUUCUGGACUCUUCUAGAUGUUAGAUAAUUGCGCAGCACGUUAAUAUCUCUAUGUAAACCCGACGUGUGGGCCUUUCUUCCAUAAUUCCUGAUAACCCCCUGUAGAAAUAGACAAACACCAAAACUCGUGGAAUUCUGUCAGAUAAAACCCUAAGUCUGGAUGUUGAUUGCAUUUGGAUCCUUUUCUCUGUUUAUUUGAUGGUUAAAUUUGAUACUUAAGGACCGUCAAUAGUGACUGAAACCCGAUGUUCAUCGAUGUUUUACUCUCAAUUCACUCGAUGGUUUUGGCUCGGAUUUCUUCCAUUGGAUAGAGCUACACGAGUUCUACAAGAUUGCUUUAAGGAUCGGACUAGUUCGAUCUCGAUUUCAAACUACAAAGCUCCCAAGUACCCUAGGAGCAAACUGUGCCGACUCUGACUUAGGCAAAUUUAGCUAAGUAUGGAAACAACCCUGAUUUUUGCCUUGUGAGCUAAUUUUGAGUGUGUUCCAGUCAUUUUCAUAAAAAGUCACCAACACAACUUUUGUAGCUUAUAAAAUGUACUACAACUUUGCUUUAGAUAACAAUUACAUGCAAGGUCUUUAACACUGGUUUCAUAAAAGAUCUUUGAAAAGAGGUUUAGCGGGUCAAGUAGGUCAACCUAGGGUGAGCCAUGACUUAUGGGCAUUUUUGGCUGAAACCUCCAACACAAACUUUGCUCAAAAUGAUACUCUAAGCAUGAUUAAAGUAUUUUGGAAGACAAUGUGCACUUAUAUGCAUUGUUCACAAAUUACUUUCACAUAUAGCAAGUCACAUAAGCAAUUCAAUCACAUAGUGUAUACACCAAAUGACAUGUGAUCAUGGUAUGAUGCUCAUGAGUGAUCAUGAUGAUGCUUAUGUUGAUGCAAUGCUCAUGGUUAACAUGCAAGCUAACACUAGGAGGGUUACAAUCAAGAUCCAAACUUUUUAUAUAGAACAUUUUUCCAUUUCAGAAAGUAUAAGUAAACAAUACUCACCAAAUCUUGAAUCUCACAUAAACUAUAUGAAACAAUAUGUGAGAAUUGCGGAUUUUCAACUACACCUUUCCAAAACUUCGUCAAAUGCAAAAAUGGUCUUUAUAUUAAAUGUAGAUCUUGAUGAGUGGAACAAUAUUGGUAUUCAUGACUUUUCCAGUCCAGACCCUCUAGGGUUCCAAAAACCGGUGCGUGGCUAUGAAUUCGUUCAAAAUUAAAAAUUGAGUGCUUCGAACAUGGUCAAAUGACCCAUCUGAUGACUUCAAAUGAAAUAAUUUUGAAUACAAAAUUAUUAGAGAUCAUCAAGAUCUAGAUUUGAUACAUUGUCCAUUUUUUCGUUUGGAUAAAUUUUAGCCAAUCCUAGGCACAUGUGUUUAAAAUCUAAGACGGGUUUUGGUCAAACUUGGUCAAAUGACAAAUUAAAUUACUUAAAAUGAAAAACAUUUAAAUACCAAGUUGUUAGCGAUCAUCAAGAUCAAAACUUUUUAUAUAGACCAUUUUUUGAUUUCAGAAAGUUUAAGUACACAAUACUCACUAAAUCAUGAAUCUCACAUAAACUAUAUGAAACAAUAUGUGAGAAUUAUAGAUUUUCAACUACACAUUCCCAACACUUUGUCAAAUGAAAAAAUGGUCUUUAUAUUAAAUGUAGAUCUUGACUAGUGGAACAAUAUUGGUAUUCAUGACUUUUCCAGUCGAGACCCUCUAGGGUUCUGAAAACCGGUGCGUGACUAUGAAUUCUUUCUAAAUUCAAAAUUGAGUGCUUCAAACAUCGUCAAAUGACCCAUUUGAUGACGUCAAAUGAAACAAUUUUGAAUACAAAGUUGUUAGAGAUCAUCAAGAUCUAAAUUUGAUACAUUGUCCAUUUUUUCAUUGGGAUAAAUUUUAGCCAAUCCUAGGCACAUGUGUUUAAAAUCCAAGACGGGUUUUGGUCAAACUUUGUCAAAUGACAAACUAAAUUACUUAACAAGAAAAAAUUUUGAAUACCAAGUUGUUAGAGAUCAUCAAGAUCCAAACUAUUUAUAUAGACCAUUUUUCGAUUCGAGAAAGUUUAAGUAAACAAUACUCACAAAAUCUUGAAUCUCACAUAAACUAUAUGAAACAAUAUGUGAGAAUUGCGGAUUUUCAACUACACCUUCCCAACACUUUGUAAAUGCAAAAAUGGUCUUUAUAUUAAAUGUAGAUCUUGACGAGUGGAACAAUAUUGGUAUUCAUGACUUUUCCAGUCGAGACCCUCUAGGGUUGCGAAAACCGGUGCGUGGCUACGAAUUCUUUCAAAAUUCAAAAUUGAGUGCUUCAAACUUGGUCAAAUGACCCAUUUGAUGGCUUCAAAUGAAACAAUUUUGAAUACAAAGUUGUUAGAGGUCAUCAAGAUCUACAUUUGAUACAUUGUCCAUUUUUCCAUUUAGAUAAAUUUUAGCCAAUCCUAGGCACAUGUGUUUAAAAUCCAAGACGGGUUUUGGUCAAACUUGGUCAAAUGACAAACUAAAUUACUUAAAAUGAAAAAUAUUUGAAUACCAAGUUGUUAGAGAUCAUCAAGAUCCAAACUUUUUAUAUAGACUAUUUUUUGAUUUGAGAAAGUUUAAGUAAACAAUACUCACUAAAUCUUGAAUCUCACAUAAACUAUAUGAAACAAUAUGUGAGAACUGUGGAUUUUCAACUACACCUUCCCAACACUUUGUCAAAUGAAAAAAUGGUCUUUAUAUUAAAGAUCUUGACUAGUGGAACAAUAUUGGUAUUCAUGACUUUUCCAGUCGAGACCCUCUAGGGUUCCGAAAACCUAUGCGUGGCUAUGAAUUCUUUCAAAAUUCAAAAUUAAGUGCUUCAAACUUGGUCAAAUGACCCAUUUGAUGACUUCAAAUGGAACAAUUUUGAAUACAAAGUUGUUAGAGAUCAUCAAGAUCUACAUUUGAUACAUAGUCUAUUUUUUCAUUUGGAUAAAUUUUAGCCAAUCCUAGGCACAUAUGUUUUAAAUCCAAGACGUGUUUUGGUCAAACUUGGUCAAUUGACAAACUAAAUGUUACACCCUAAAUUUUGCUUCUUUGAACAUAGAGCUAAAAUAAUUUAUUUUGUAUUUUUGUGCUCAUGAAAAUAUAGGAAAAAUAAUAUUUUUCAUUAAAUUAAAAUUUAUCAUAAGGUUUAGCAAUAUUAUUAUGCAUACAUGCUGGUGCAUACGUUUUGAUGUGAUGUUUGGUUGUUGCCCCUUUAUGUGUUGUGUGAGCAAAGUUUUUAAAAUUCGUUUAGUAGAUCGAUCUUCCUUAACCGGUACAUCUCUAUCUUUAUCUCCGAUCAAAUUCCUUGUUGCUCAGCUCAAGUUUUUAUUAGGAGCUUCCUAAAAUUUUUUCUUUGUCACCCAAAUCGCUUCUUUUGAUUUCUCAUUCAUCAAGCAGUCUCUACAAACUUUUUGGGAAUUUUUCAGCUUCCAUUCUCACUUUUCUGUAAGUAUAAUUUAAUUUUUAGAUGCUCCAAAAUAAUCUUAUCUUGGGCUCUAAAUACUUUAUUUGAGUUCCUCAUGUUCCAUAGUGUCUCUGAGUUUUCAGAGCUUUCAUAAUAUUUUUUACAGUUUAAAUAAUAAUUCUAGACUUUUCUAGAAUUAUUUUAUCCAUAAAAUUAAAUAAUUCCGAAAAUAAUAAAUCCUUCAUUUUACGUCAACGCUCAGCCCAUGAUCUCAAAGGCCAAUAUAUUUAUUUACUAGUGGGCUUAAAUAAUUAAUCAGACCUAUUAGUAAAGAUGGAGAUUGCAACAUCAAUUAGUAGCUAAUUGAUGUGGAUGUGAAGAGUUUUACCAACCCCUUGGAUUAAGUACACUAAAACUACCAUAUGGGGAGCUUCUAGUUUAGAAAAACCCUCGUAUAGUAAAAUUAUUCUUCGUUUGCCGUCAUAGCUGCCAUCUGCAAACCACUGAGGAGUUUCGCGUCAAUGAAAGCCUGUUACCGGUGCCACCGUGGUUCAUCGUCGAUGCAAGUGCGGUGCAAAGGUUUCGCGCAACGUGAAGCCACAGGCCAUCCUAUCGAGGUCCGUAUUCAUCCACCGAUUGCCAUCUUUCGGUAGAUCACAUCUGCUCCUCUUUCCCAUUAACUUAACAAGCUAAUAAGCCUGUUUAUACAUACUGAACAAUAUGGCGCUGCCUACUAAUUCUCCAUGCAGUUCAGAAGUAGCAGCCGGCCAUGUCAUCUUUGCUAGCUUGAUGAUUUCAUCAUGAUGUCACACAUACAUAUUUGCCGUUUUCCUUUAGAAAAAUAAAUCCAGAAAUACAAAGAAAAUACACUAGUUUGUUUUGGCUAUAAAAUAUUCAUUUUAAUUCCGUUUGGACCCAUUCAAAUUGCGUUAGGUUCAUAAUCAUGAGCUCUACAUGUUAGUAAAAUUGUUUACUCAGUUUGAAACUUUUUAAUUUCGUGAUACUAUUUAAUCAAUUAUUUUAUCUAUAGGAAAUCUUAGAAAAUUCAUAACUUCUACGUUUUAAAUCCGAUUUUCGUGAUCUUUACGUCUAUGAUAUCGUAGCGAUGCGUAGAAUCAUUUUAUAAACUUUUCCUACUGUUUUUAUAUAAUUGGUAUACUGUUCUAAUUGUAGCUUUGUUUGCUUCGUGUAUGUUUUCUCUGAUUGUUUGUGUGAUCGAUGAUCAAGAUUAGACGAUGAGCAAUCCUUAGUGAACCAGAGUGCUUCAGUGAUCAAGAUUAGAGCCUUGGACAACUAGCAAGAUCAGCAAGAGCUAUCGGAUCGAGGCAAGUAUAGCAUUUAGAUUUUAAUUCUGUGACCAUGAUCCUGUGACUAGAUUAAUGUUAAGUAAUAAAUAAUAAAAAUAACUUUUUAGCCACUUGAUGAUUUAUCUGUAAGUGAUAACUGGGACAACAGUGCAACCAUAAGGGCUAUAAUGGCUCUGGCUUUAGUUAAGUAUGAGUAACUUUUCUAGCUCGUUAGCGGUUACCCGUUGUGGCGCAAUUGGGGAACAGCAGACUGUGGAUUCCUGCGGGUGAAUCACACGGACUGACUAAUGAAACCAAGCGGCCCUAACUUGUUAGACGAACCUUUGAAAGACUUCAUAGUGGUCCCUGCCGACCUCCCUUGGAAGGGGGUUAAGAGAUUAUCUACCUCGGGCGAAGGAGUAAAUCAUGACUCAUGGGUAAAGAUGUGCAACCUCUGCAGAGGGUUAAAAACAAGUAUACUAGCCGAGCUCACGGUCAGGAGCGACCUUGGGGAUUCUUGCAUCGACGAUGAUGAUUCUUGUGUGUUAAAUAUGCCCAUUAUUUAUUAUUUAGUGCUUUAUAUUAUUUAUGAUCAUGAGAUUGUGGGAGCUAUACAAUCUAUUUGCUAUACUUGUGGAGUUCGACAUGGACUCACUCUUCCUAUUUCCCUAAACCUCAGGAGAAGUUUAGGCUUGUGAUCAACCAGUCAGUUGGAUCCUGUAGAGUGGAGUUAAUACCCGAAGUUUGGAGUUAUCUUCCGUUGUUUGCUGCUUAAGGUUAUCUCUUUUAUAUUAUGUACGCUAUAUAUUUAUGCAUUGUCUUUUGAUAUUACCUCUUAUUUGUAGCUAUAUGUGAGAUUUGACUUAUAAGACUCACAUAUGGUGCAUAUCUGGUUUUGUCCUUAAAAUCGGGUAUUACAAAGUGGUAUCAAAGCAAUGCUGACUGUAGGACGCAAGCCUAGUUAGAAAUUGGUCGUCUUAAGGUUUUGAAAUUGUUAUAACAUCCUUGUUCUAUAAACCUUGGUAUUUUCAUCCAUACUAUACCCCUAUCCUUGCUAUUUGUCUCUACCUUGUUGCUUAUUUUAAAUGUCUUUGUUCUCAUCUUCACUCCUUGAUUUGAUAAGCUUUUAGAAUCUUCUCUUACCACCUGCUUACGUAGUUGAAAGAGAAUUUUAGGAUCUUUACCCUUAAUAUGAAGAGAACGAUAGUAUCGCAAGUUGACUUGUUUGACGUGUGAACCUUUAAUGCUUAGUUGGUUUGUUAUUAUGUUUAUGCGUGAUUUGGAUCUUUUUAAUGAGUGAAAUGAUUUUGUGGAUUUCCCCACAAUAUCAUUUAGUUUAUAGGCCUAAGGCAUAAGGAGUAAUGACAUAAGUAGUUGGGUUUGGUUAUAUCUUGUUUCUAUCCCUUGCUGAUUUCUGGAGCAGUCUGCAAUAAUCAUGGUGUAUCUCAAGUUCUGAUCAUGCAAAGUUUAUCAAAUGUUUUUGGGAACAACUAGACUUCAAGAUCUUUCUCUGGCCGCAAGAAUCACCCUCAUAGCUAUUAUGGUUUGGAAGUUACAAAAAUCACAAGAUGAUACAGAGAUGCUGUCAGGAAUCUGGACCAGUUCGGUUGCCUACUAUUCUAGACAAAUAUAACUAUAGAAUUUGGAAAAGUGUUCUAUAGAAGAGUUGUAGACAAUUUUCUAAGUUUUCCAACGGUGUAAGCUGUAACGUAUUUGGAUAAGUAGAACCUGAGCUAUGACAGCUACAAUUGGAUGUUUCUGUUCUAUUUCAAAAUCUGGACAGAUCUGGUAUUUCCUAUUUUCAGACAUCUUAACGACAGAAUCAGGGAAAACAUUGUAUACAAAAGUUGUAAAGGAUUUCCUAAGCUUUCCAGAAAUGUAAGGAUCAUCUCCAGAUGAGUUAAGUAGCUCGAGAUAUAACUUUUGGAAGUUACUGCACCUUUGCUGAGACAUUUUCAGGAUGGAUAUUAACUUUGGCUGUUUUACCUAAGUUUAAAUACCGAACCUAAGGAGGUUUUCUACAUGAAAGUUGCUGGGGAUUUCAUAAGUUUUCUAACGGUAUAAGCCACAACUCGAUUGAUGUCACAGAAUAAGAGUUAUGUCCAUUUUACUACGUUGAUGUUUUCAUAUCGCGAGGAAAUUUCAGGAUACCUGUUUGCUCCAUUGCACAUAAGUUCUUUGGGAUGUCAGAAGUUCUGAAUGUUAGUUAACUUAUCUGAAAAACAUGCAAGCUACCUUUCUUGUGUCCCCUAAAUGACUUUCUUAAGGGGGGUAGCUUAAUUAAAGAAGUUACAAGGAGAAGAAGUGGUUAAUGUUGGAUCAUCUAUAAGGACAUCAGAUGUUUGGUAGGUUUGGUUUUGUUUCAAGAUAGCGUCCCACUUGGAGAAUAUCAAUGGAGGUAUAUGUCAUGGCUGAUGCUCAUAGAUUGAGAGUUAUGCUUAUGAGGAUCAGAUGACACCAAAGUUUACGAAGUUAUAUGUGGGAUGUGAGAGUGAAGCAACUUAAUUGUGAUUGAGGUACUAGUAGUUGGAACGUAGUGAUGAAGCCAACCUUGGAUCAAGAGACUCGGUACAUUGAAUUUUAAAGACUAUAUGAUGUGUAGAAUUUAAAAAAGUUAUGAGGACUAGUCCCUAAUGUCUCCCCAGUCAAUCUCAUCUUAAGGGGGGUAGCCUAGAUAAGAAGGUUGCUAAAUGAAGGUUCCAUGCGUUCUAGUGCCUUACUUGGAAGUAUCUUUUAUGUCUCUAGAUGAGAAGUCAAUAUCAAGUGUAGGUAUUACUCCUGUGUGAGCUAUGAGUAAGAAGAAAAAACCUUAUCUAUACAAAGUACACUACCGAACUCUUGGACACAAUUGAGGGAGAUGUUCGGAGUGACGAAAGCAAUGGAAUGGCUACUAAGAAGGAGCUACUCGAGGAAGUGAAUAAGGUUCAAAAGUGGAGUGUCCAUGUUUCUUUGAUCACCAUCUUCCGAAUCUCGGGACGAGAUUCAUCUUAAGGGGGGUAGAAUUGUAACACCCUAAAUUUUGCUUCUUUGAAAACAGAGCUAAAAUAAUUUAUUUUGUAUUUUUGUGCUCAUGAAAAUAUAGGAAAAAUAAUAUUUUUCAUUAAAUUAAAAUUUAUCAUAAGGCUUAGCAAUAUUAUUAUGCAUACAUGCUGUUGCAUACGUUUUGAUGUGAUGUUUGGUUGUUGCCCAUUUAUGUGUUGAGUGAGCAAAGUUUUUAAAAUGCGUUUAGUAGAUCGAUCUUCCUUAACCGGUACAUCUCUAUCUUUAUCUCCGAUCAAAUUCCUUGUUGCUCAGCUCAAGUUUUUAUUAGGAGCUUCCUAAAAUCUUUUCUUUGUCACCCAAAUCGCUUCUUUUGAUUUCUCAUUCAUCAAGCAGUCUCUACAAGCUUUUUGGGAAUUUUUCAGCUUCCGUUCUCAUUUUUCUGUAAGUAUAAUCUAAUUUUUAGAUGCUCCAAAAUAAUCUUAUCUUGGGCUCGAAAUACUUUAUUUGAGUUCCUCAUGUUCCAUAGUGUCUCUGACAAUUUUCUCUGAAUUUUCAGAGCUUUCAGAAUAUUUUUCACAGUUUAAAUAAUAAUUCUAGCCUUUUCUAGAAUUAUUUUAUCCAUGAAAUUAAAUAAUUCCGAAAAUAAUAAAUCCUUCAUUUUACGUCAACGCUCAGCCCAUGAUCUCAAAGGCCAAUAUAUUUAUUUACUAGUGGGAUUAAAUAAUUAAUCAGGCCUAUUAGUAAAGAUGGAGAUUGCAACAUCAAUUAGUAGCUAAUUGAUGUGGAUGUGAAGAGUUUUUCUCCCUAUAUACAUAUGUACCAACCUUGGGUUAAGUACAUAAAAACUAUCAUAUGGGCAUCUUCUAGUUUAGAAAAUCUCUCGUAUAGUAAAAUUAUAUUUUUCUUCGUUUGCCGUCGUAGCUGCCAUCUGCAAACCACUAGGAGUUUCGCGUCAAUGAAAGCCUGUUACCGGUGCCACCGUGGUUCAUCGUCGAUUCAAGUGCGGUGCAAAGGUUUCGCGCAAUGUGAAGCCACAGGCCAUCCUAUCGAGGUCCGUAUUCAUCCACCGAUUGCCAUCUUUGGGUAGAUCACAUCUGCUCCUCUUUUCCAUUAACUUAACAAGCUAAUAAGCCUGUUUAUACGUACUGAACAAUAUGCCGCUGCCUACUAAUUCUCCAUACAGUUUAGAAGUAGCAGCCGGCCAUGUCAUCUUUGCUAGAUUGAUGAUUUCAUCAUGAUGUCACACAUACAUAUUUGCCGUUUUUCUUUAGAAAAAUAAAUCCAGAAAUACAAAGAGAAUAUACUAGUUUGUUUUGGCCAUAAAAUAUUCAUUUUAAUUCCGUUUGGACCCAUUCAAUUUGCGUUAGGUUCAUAUCAUGAGCUCUACAUGUUAGUAAAAUUGUUUACUCAGUUUGAAACUUUUUAAUUUCGUGAUACUAUUUAAUCAAUUAUUUUUUCUAUAGGAAAUCUUAGAAAAUUCAUAACUUCUACGUUUUAAAUCCGAUUUUCGUGAUCUUUACGUCUAUGAUAUCGUAGCGAUGCGUAGAAUCAUUUUAUAUACUUUCCUUACUGUUUUUAUAUAAUUGGUGUACUGUUCUAAUUGUAGCUUUGUUUGCUUCGUGUAUGUUUUCUCCGAUUGUUUGUGUGAUCGAUGAUCAAGAUUAGACGAUGAGCAGUCCUUGGUGAACCAGAGUGCUUCAGUGAUCAAGAUCAGAGCCUUGGACAACUAGCAAGAUCAGCAAGAGCUAUCGGAUCGAGGCAAGUAUAGCAUUUGGAUUUUAAUUCUGUGACCAUGAUCCUGUGACUAGAUUAAUGUUAAGUAAUAAAUAAUAAAAAUGACUUUUUAGCCACUUGAUGAUUUAUCUGUAAGUGAUAACCGGGACAACGGUGCAACCAUGAGGGCUAUAAUGGCUCUGGCUUUAGUUAAGUAUGAGUAACUUUUCUAGCUCGUUAGCGGUUACCCGUUGUGGCGCAAUUGGGGAAUAACAGACCGUGGAUUCCUGCGGGUGAAUCACACGGACUGACUAAUGAAACCAACCGGCCUUAACUUGUUAGACGAACCUUUGAAAGACUUCAUAGUGGUCCCUGCCGACCUCCCUUGGAAGAGGGUUAAGAGAUUAGCUACCUCGGGCGAACGGGUAAAUCAUGACUCAUGGGUAAAGAUGUGCAACCUCUGCAGAGGGUUAAAAACUAGUAUACUAGCCGAGCUCACGGUCAGGAGCGACCUUGGGAAUUCUUGCAUCGACGAUGAUGAUUCUUGUGUGUUAAAUAUGCCCAUUAUUUAUUAUUUAGUGCUUUACAUUAUUUAUGAUCAUGAGAUUGUGGGAGCUAUACAAUCUAGUUGCUAUAUUUGUGGAGUUCGACAUGGACUUACUCUUGCUAUUUCCCUAAACCUCAGGAGAAGUUUAGGCUUGUGAUCAACCAGUCAGUUGGAUCCUGUAGAGUGGAGUUAAUACCCGAAGUUUGGAGUUAUCUUCCGUUGUUUGCUGCUUAAGGUUAUCUCUUUUGUAUUAUGUACGUUAUAUAUUUAUGCAUUGUCUUUUGAUAUUACCCCUUAUUUGUAGCUAUAUGUGAGAUUUGACUUCUAAGACUCACAUAUGGUGCAUAUCUGGUUUUGUCCUUAAAAUCGGGUAUUACACUAAAUUACUUAAAAUGAAAAACAUUUGAAUACCAAGUUGUUAGAGAUCACAAAGAUCCAAACUUUUUAUAUAGACCAUUUUCUAUUUGAGAAAGUUUAAGUAAACAAUACUCACCAAAUCUUGAAUAUCACAUAAACUAUAUGAAACAAUAUGUGAGAAUUGCGAAUUUUCAACUACACCUUCCCAAAACUUUGUCAAAUGCAAAAAUGGUCUUUAUAUUAAAUGUAGAUCUUGAUGAGUGGAACAAUAUUAGUAUUCAUGUCUUUUCCAGUCGAGACCCUCUAGGGUUCCAAAAAUCGUUGCAUGUCUAUGAAUUCAUUCAAAAUUAAAAAUUGAGUGCUUCAAACUUCGUCAAAUAACCCAUUUGAUGACUUCAAAUGCAACAAUUUUGAAUACAAAGUUGUUAAAGUUCAUCAAGAUCUACAUUUGAUACAUUGUCCAUUUUUCCAUUUGGAUAAAUUUUAGCCAAUCCAAGGCACAUGUGUUUAAAAUCCAAGACAGGUUUUGGUCAAACUUGGUCAAAUGACAAACUAAAUUACUUAAAAUGAAAAACAUUUGAAUACCAAGUUGUUAGAGAUCAUCAAGAUCCAAACUUUUUAUAUAGAUCAUUUUUCGAUUUGAGAAUAUUUAAGUAAACAAUACUCACCAAAUCUUGAACUCACAUAAAUUAUAUGAAACUAUAUGUGAGAAUUGUAGAUUUUCAACUACACCUUCCCAACACUUUGUCAAAUGCAAAAUGGUCUCUAUAUUAAAUGUAGAUCUUGAUGAGUGGAACAAUAUUGGUAUUCAUGACUUUUCCAGUCGAGACCCUCUAGGGUUCCGAAAAUCGGUGCGUGGCUAUGAUUUCUUUCAAAAUUCAAAAUUGAGUGCUUCAAACUUGGUCAAAUGACCCAUUUAAUGACUUCAAAUGUUACAAUUUUGAAUACAAAGUUGUUAGAGAUCAUCAAGAUCUAAAUUUGAUACAUUGUCCAUUUUUUUAUUUGGAUAAAUUUUAGCCAUUCCUAGGCACAUGUGUUUAAAAUCAAAGAUGGGUUUUGGUCAAACUUGGUCAAAUGACAUACUAAAUUACUUAAAAUGAAAAACAUUUGAAUACCAAGUUGUUACAAAUCAUCAAGAUCCAAGCUUUUUAUAUAGACUAUUUUUCGAUUUGAGAAAGUUUAAGUAAACAAUACUCACCAAAUCUUGAAUCUCACAUAAACUAUACGAAACAAUAUGUGAGAAUUACGGAUUUUCAACUACACCUUCCCCACACUUUGUCAAAUGCAAAAAUGGUCUAUAUAUUAAAUGUAGAUCUUGAUGAGUGGAACAAUAUUGGUAUUCAUGACUUUUCCAGUCGAGACCCUCUAGGGUUCCGAAAACCGGUGCGUGGCUAUGAAUUCUUUCAAAAUUCAAAAUUGAGUGCUUCAAACUUCGUCAAAUGACCCAUUUGAUGACUUUAAAUGCAACAAUUUUGAAUACAAAGUUGUUAGAGAUCAUCAAGAUCUACAUUUGAUACAUUGACCAUUUUUCCAUUUGGAUAAUUUUUAGCCAAUCCAAGGCACAUGUGUUUAAAAUCCAAGACAGGUUUUGGUCAAACUUGGUCAAAUGACAAACUAAAUUACUUAAAAUGAAAAACAUUUGAAUACCAAGUUGUUAGAGAUCAUCAAGAUCCAACAUUUUUAUAUCGACCAUUUUUCCGUUUGAGAAAGUUUAAGUAAACAAUACUCACCAAAUCUUGAAUCUCACAAAAUAAUAUGAAACUAUAUGUAAGAAUUGUGGAUUUUCAACUACACCUUGCCAACACUUUAUCAAAUACAAAAAUUGUCUCUAUAUUAAAUGUAGAUCUUGAUGAGUCGAACAAUAUUGGUAUUCAUGACUUUUCCAGUCGAGACCCUCUAGGGUUCCGAAAACCGGUGCGUGGCUAUGAAUUCUUUCAAAAUUCAAAAUUGAGUGCUUCAAACUUGGUCAAAUGACCCAUUUGAUGACUUCAAAUGAAACAAUUUUGAAUGCAAAGUUGUUAGAGAUCAUCAAGACCUACAUUUGAUACAUUGUCCAUUUUUUCAUUUGGAUAAAUUUUAGCCAAUCCUAGGCACAUGUGUUUAGAAUCCAAGAUGGGUUUUUAUCAAACUUGGUCAAAUGACAAACUAUAUUACUUAAAAUGAAAAACAUUUGAAUACUGUUGAUAUUUGGUAACGCCAUCAAAAAAUGAUCCGCAAGCGCACGGAUAUCGGUGAGCACUUCACCCGGGAGGUUAUCCAGAGUACCGUAUUUAUAUUUUUACCACUGGUAGAAAGCGUGCAUCUGACUAACCAAAUAUAUUGCUACUACCCUUUAGGCUACAAAGAAUGUGAUUCGACGUGAGUGAUGUAUAGAGAAGACUACAACUGCACUCUCGUUCUAACCUUGGUAAGAAUGAUCUAUUGUUCUAUUGGAGAGGCUCACGGAAUCUAGACACCACAGAGGAUGUUCGACCCGCACCUAUAAACACUACCCGUCCUGCUAACGAGAUGUGGGCUGCAAAGGUAACUCGAAAAUGUCACGUUCCUCGCUACUACCACGGUCUAGCUAGUCAGGGGAUAACUAUGAGUACCCUUGCCCAAACACCACGUUUACGCUAGCAAUGAUUACUCUAAACUCAAUCGGAAGAGAUUAAAGUAAACUCAUAAACCAAAGAACAAUAAAAUAAGAACUUACUAGAAUUUAGAAGUCGAAUUACUGAAGAAUCUUAGGAGCAAGCCUCGGGUUAGGAGAACUUGGUCCCGCAGGUACAACCUCAGAGUAGACACCGACAGGCCGGGCUUCCUCCGAUCUACACCUCCACUCUAUCUCUCUCAAUCUAGUAGAACUUAGAAGAACUAAUUCUACCCUCACAUUGGAUGCUAAGCCCUAAGUCUAUUUAGAGGAGAGGUUAUCCUUCGAGGGCUCCUCUCAACUCUAUGAUGGACUUGUUCUCCUCAGGGGCCAGGGGGUCUGCUUAUAUAGUCCCCUCAAGUGAAUCUGGGUCGUUGGACCAAACCGACAUUGAUUGAACGGUUAUCCUUGAUCCUUUAGGUCGGUGGAGCGUAAUCCGUGAGACGGGACCUGAUUGGUCUCUGCAAUUGGGCGGGCGCCCAAGGGGGGAGGGCGGGCGCCCUAUCCCCGGGCCCGAUCGCCUUCCCAUUCGUUCCCGUGGCUUCUAGACUCUUCUAGAUGAUAGAAAAUUGCGUGGCACGUUAAUAUCUCUAUGUAAACCCGACGUAUGGGCCUUUCUUCCGUAUUUCCUGAUAACCCCCUGCAGAAAUAGACAAACACCAAAACUCGUGGAAUUCUAUCAGAUAAAACCCUAAGUUUGGGUGUUGGUUGCAAUUGGAUCCUUUUCUUUAUUUAUUUGAUGAUUAUAUUUGGUACGUAAGGACUGUCAACAACUCCCCCAAGCUUACCUCUUGCUCGUCCCUGAGCAAGGUUGGACUCAAGAGUUUAUGCAGUGGUUUCAUGCCUUAAAAGUACACGCGUUCAAACAAGAUCUCAUCUCUGAGUUAGAGUAAACUGUUAAGACUUAAAACUUACUCAUUUUACCUUUCACCAUGGGGCUUGCAACCGUCACUUGUGUCUUGAGCAGUUAAAAGAUAGAACGGUCAAGUCAAGCGCCAUGUCUCUUAUUCUUGAUCAGCUAUAGCUCUAGAGUUUUUUUUUGCAGAUUUUCAAACUCAGAGAUUCCUUGUAUGACUCUGUCAAAUCUCUCUUUUGUGGUAUUUCUGGAUCCUUCCCAAGGCAGUAAUGGUAUAUGCCUUCUCUCAAAGUAUGUGGUAUUUUUGGUAUGAGGCAUAGUGAUAUUGCCUUCUCUCUCACCCUACUUUAAUAAGGUUUUGAUAUCUGGAGCUCAUAGGUGGGAGACAGAUAAUACAUACUCACAAGACGUUUAUUGCAUAGUCAAACCAUGGAUCCAGAGAAACAAGUCAAUAAGUCAAAUCAAGAUGUGCAUGUGUGGCGAGUGAAUGGUGUAUGGUAAUGAUGGUGAUAACAAUGGUGAAAGUCUAAUUCUACUUUUGCUCUUUUUAGGGGAUACAUACCUUUCUUGCACUUUGAAGCUUUUUGAGGAGAAUGAGAUGCUCUAUAUUUUCUUUUUCUUUCCUCUCAGGUGGGCAUCUUGUACCCCUAAUUCUACUGUCGGACACUUGUCCAUUUUUACCUCUCGUCUCACUUUUUCUUUUCUUUCGAGGUUCCGGGCACUUGCCCCUUUUUAUUCCCUCGUAUUCACUCUUCUCUUUUUUUAGAGCACUCAUCUCAAAUAAUAUAGCAAGUGGUAGUAACCAAGAUAACUCGAGCAUUUAUUUCACAGGG
rnacentral:lncRNA from 1 species